CACGUAGGGCGCGAGCGUUGUCCGGAAUUAUUGGGCGUAAAGAGCUCGUAGGCGGCCUGUUGCGUCCGCUGUGAAAGCCCGGGGCUUAACCCCGGGUCGGCAGUGGAUACGGGCAGGCUAGAGGUAGGUAGGGGAGAAUGGAAUUCCUGGUGUAGCGGUGGAAUGCGCAGAUAUCAGGAGGAACACCGGUGGCGAAGGCGGGUCUCUGGGCCAUUACUGACGCUGAGGAGCGAAAGCGUGGGGAGCGAACAGG
rnacentral:rRNA from 1 species